AACAUGUUCCCCAUAGGAUUUUCUUUGGUUCAUUCUUGGCUAAGUUUGAACUAAAGUAGACCUUAGGUUGGAUAACCAAGCAUGACAACAAUCUUCUUUUAUCUCUUUUCUUUGUGUGAACAACAUGUUCCCCAUAGGAUUUUCUUUGGUUCAUUCUUGGCUAAGUUUGAACUAAAGUAGACCUUAGGUUGGAUAACCAAGCAUGACAACAUUA
rnacentral:lncRNA from 1 species